AGUCACUGACAUUAGAUACCCGUGUAGUCCAGGGUGUAAACGCUGCAGACUUGGUGUUGGAGGCCCUUUGGGGGCAUUCAGUGCCGGAGAGAAGUUGUUAAGUCUGCUACUUGGGAGUACGUCCGCAAGGAUGAAACUUAAGGAAUUGGCGGGGGAGCACCGCAACGGGAGGAGCGUGCGGUUUAAUUGGAUUCAACACCGUAAAACUCACCAGGGAAGACUGUUACAUGAAGGCCGAGAUGAAGACUCUGCUAGAUUUUCAG
rnacentral:rRNA from 1 species